rnacentral:rRNA from 1 species
GGCCUUUUGAAUUUAAUAUAAGGUCUGACCUGCCCAGUGAUAGUUUUAACGGCCGCGGUAUACUGACCGUGCAAAGGUAGCAUAAUCAUUAGUCUUUUAAUAGAGGGCUGGAAUGAAAGGUUUCACGAGGAACUGGCUGUCUCAUUUUAUUUGUUUUAAAAUUUAAUUUUUUAGUUAAAAAGCUAAAAUUUUAUUGGUAGACGAGAAGACCCUAUAGAGCUUUACAUAUAAUUAAAUGAAUAUUUUUAUAUUAAUAUUUUUAUUUAUUUUUGUGUUUUGUUGGGGUGACAAAAAUAUAUAACUAACUUUUUUAUUUACUUUACAUUGAUUUAUGAAUAUUAGAUCCAAUAUUAUUGAUUAUUAGACUAAGUUACCUUAGGGAUAACAGCGUAAUCCUCCUCCAGAGUUCAUAUUUACAGGAUGGGCUUGCGACCUCGAUGUUGGAUUAAGAUGAUAAUUAGGUGUAGCCGCUUAAUUGAUAGGUCUGUUCGACCUUUAAAUUCUU